rnacentral:rRNA from 1 species
CUUUCGACAGGCUUAACACAUGCAAGUCGAGGGGCAGCACGGUGUAUCAAUACAUUGGUGGCGACCGGCGCACGGGUGAGUAACGCGUAUGCAACCUACCUAUCAGAGGGGAAUAACCCGGCGAAAGUCGGACUAAUACCGCAUAAAACAGGGGUUCCACAUGGAAAUAUUUGUUAAAGAUUUAUCGCUGAUAGAUGGGCAUGCGUUCCAUUAGAUAGUUGGUGAGGUAACGGCUCACCAAGUCCACGAUGGAUAGGGGUUCUGAGAGGAAGGUCCCCCACACUGGUACUGAGACACGGACCAGACUCCUACGGGAGGCAGCAGUGAGGAAUAUUGGUCAAUGGGCGAGAGCCUGAACCAGCCAAGUCGCGUGAAGGAUGAAGGAUCUAUGGUUUGUAAACUUCUUUUAUAUGGGAAUAAAGUGAGGAACGUGUUCCUUUUUGUAUGUACCAUAUGAAUAAGCAUCGGCUAACUCCGUGCCAGCAGCCGCGGUAAUACGGAGGAUGCGAGCGUUAUCCGGAUUUAUUGGGUUUAAAGGGUGCGUAGGUGGUUUUUUAAGUCAGCGGUGAAAGUUUGUGGCUCAACCAUAAAAUUGCCGUUGAAACUGGGGAACUUGAGUAUAUUUGAGGUAGGCGGAAUGCGUGGUGUAGCGGUGAAAUGCAUAGAUAUCACGCAGAACUCCGAUUGCGAAGGCAGCUUACUAAACUAUAACUGACACUGAAGCACGAAAGCGUGGGGAUCAAACAGGAUUAGAUACCCUGGUAGUCCACGCAGUAAACGAUGAUUACUAGCUGUUUGCGAUACACAGUAAGCGACACAGCGAAAGCGUUAAGUAAUCCACCUGGGGAGUACGCCGGCAACGGUGAAACUCAAAGGAAUUGACGGGGGCCCGCACAAGCGGAGGAACAUGUGGUUUAAUUCGAUGAUACGCGAGGAACCUUACCCGGGUUUGAACGCAUUCGGACCGACUGUGAAAGCAGUCUUUCAGCAAUGACCGUUUGCGAGGUGCUGCAUGGUUGUCGUCAGCUCGUGCCGUGAGGUGUCGGCUUAAGUGCCAUAACGAGCGCAACCCUUAUCACUAGUUACUAACAGGUCAUGCUGAGGACUCUAGUGAGACUGCCAGCGUAAGCUGUGAGGAAGGUGGGGAUGACGUCAAAUCAGCACGGCCCUUACAUCCGGGGCGACACACGUGUUACAAUGGUGGGGACAAAGGGCAGCUACACAGCGAUGUGAUGCUAAUCUCCAAACCCCAUCUCAGUUCGGAUCGAAGUCUGCAACCCGACUUCGUGAAGCUGGAUUCGCUAGUAAUCGCGCAUCAGCCAUGGCGCGGUGAAUACGUUCCCGGGCCUUGUACACACCGCCCGUCAAGCCAUGGGAGUUGGGGGUACCUAAAGUCCGUAACCGUAAGGAUCGGCCUAGGGUAAAACCGAUGACUG